rnacentral:rRNA from 1 species
UACGUAGGGUCCGAGCGUUGUCCGGAAUUAUUGGGCGUAAAGGGCUCGUAGGCGGUUUGUCGCGUCGGGAGUGAAAACCAGAGGCUUAACUUCUGGCUUGCUUUCGAUACGGGCAGACUUGAGGCAUGCAGGGGAGAACGGAAUUCCUGGUGUAGCGGUGAAAUGCGCAGAUAUUGGGAAGAACACCGGUGGCGAAAGCGCCUUGCUGGGUCUGCACUGACACUGAGGGACGAAAGCUAGGGGAGCGAAAGGG